GAAUUCGCCCUUAGAGUUUGAUCCUGGCUCAGGAUGAACACUAGCUACAGGCUAAACACAUGCAAGUCGAACGGGGAUAGAUUGAAGGUUUACCUGAUAUCUAUUCUAGUGGCGGACGGGUGAGUAACGCGUGAGCAAUCUGCCUUGUACUGGGGGAUAACGUCGAGAAAUCGGCGCUAAUACCGCAUAAUACUAUUAGAUCGCAUGGUCAUAUAGUCAAAACUCCGGUGGUACAAGAUGAGCUCGCGUCCAAUUAGCUAGUUGGUGAGGUAAUGGCCCACCAAGGCGACGAUUGGUAGCCGAACUGAGAGGUUGAUCGGCCACAUUGGGACUGAGACACGGCCCAGACUCCUACGGGAGGCAGCAGUGGGGAAUAUUGCGCAAUGGAGGGAACUCUGACGCAGCAACGCCGCGUGAAGGAUGAAGGUUUUCGGAUUGUAAACUUCUUUGAUCGGGGACGAAAAUGACGGUACCCGAGGAACAAGCCACGGCUAACUACGUGCCAGCAGCCGCGGUAAUACGUAGGUGGCAAGCGUUGUCCGGAAUUACUGGGUGUAAAGGGCGUGUAGGCGGGAAGGCAAGUCAGAUGUGAAAGCCCAUGGCUUAACUGUGGAACUGCAUCUGAAACUGUUUUUCUUGAGUACUGGAGAGGAAAGUGGAAUUCCUAGUGUAGCGGUGAAAUGCGUAGAGAUAAGGAGGAACACCAGUGGCGAAGGCGGCUUUCUGGACAGUAACUGACGCUGAGGCGCGAAAGCGUGGCGAGCAAACAGGAUUAGAUACCUUGGUAGUCCACGCAGUAAACGAUGAUUACUCGCUGUUUGCGAUACACAGUAAGCGGCUUAGCGAAAGCGUUAAGUAAUCCACCUGGGGAGUACGUUCGCAAGAAUGAAACUCAAAGGAAUUGACGGGGGCCCGCACAAGCGGAGGAACAUGUGGUUUAAUUCGAUGAUACGCGAGGAACCUUACCCGGGCUUGAAAUGCAUCUGACAGGAGCAGAGACGCUCUCUCCCUUCGGGGCAGAUGUGUAGGUGCUGCAUGGUUGUCGUCAGCUCGUGCCGUGAGGUGUCGGCUUAAGUGCCGUAACGAGCGCAACCCUCAUCAUUAGUUACCAUCAGGUUAAGCUGGGGACUCUAAUGAGACUGCCAUCGUAAGAUGUGAGGAAGGUGGGGAUGACGUCAAAUCAGCACGGCCUUUACGUCCGGGGCGACACACGUGUUACAAUGGAUGGUACAAAGGGCAGCUACAUGGCGACAUGAUGCUAAUCUCCAAAACCAUUCUCAGUUCGGAUCGAAGUCUGCAACUCGACUUCGUGAAGCUGGAUUCGCUAGUAAUCGCGCAUCAGCCACGGCGCGGUGAAUACGUUCCCGGGCCUUGUACACACCGCCCGUCA
rnacentral:rRNA from 1 species